UGGGGAAUUUUGGACAAUGGGCGAAAGCCUGAUCCAGCAAUGCCGCGUGCAGGAUGAAGGCCCUCGGGUUGUAAACUGCUUUUGUACGGAACGAAAAGCCUGGGGCUAAUAUCCCCGGGUCAUGACGGUACCGUAAGAAUAAGCACCGGCUAACUACGUGCCAGCAGCCGCGGUAAUACGUAGGGUGCAAGCGUUAAUCGGAAUUACUGGGCGUAAAGCGUGCGCAGGCGGUUUUGUAAGACAGUGGUGAAAUCCCCGGGCUCAACCUGGGAACUGCCAUUGUGACUGCAAGGCUAGAGUGCGGCAGAGGAGGAUGGAAUUCCGCGUGUAGCAGUGAAAUGCGUAGAUAUGCGGAGGAACACCGAUGGCGAAGGCAAUCCCCUGGGCCUGCACUGACGCUCAUGCACGAAAGCGUGGGGAGCAAACAGG
rnacentral:rRNA from 1 species